rnacentral:rRNA from 1 species
AUUGAACGCUGGCGGCAGGCCUAACACAUGCAAGUCGAGCGAGCGGCGGACGGGUGAGUAAUGCCUAGGAAUCUGCCUGGUAGUGGGGGAUAACGUCCGGAAACGGGCGCUAAUACCGCAUACCAUCGGAUGUGCCCAGAUUGGAUUAGCUUGUAGGUGAGGUAACGGCCAACCUAGGCGACGAUCCCUAGCUGGUCUGAGAGGAUGACCAGUAACACUGGAACUUAGACACGGUCCAGAGUCCUGCGGGAGGCAGCAGUGGGGAAUAUUGCACAAUGGGCGCAAGCCUGAUGCAGCCAGGCGGCGGGGAUGAAGAAGGCCUUCGGGUUGGAAAGUACUUUGAGCGGGGAGGCGUUACCCGCAGAAGAAGCACCGGCUAACUCCGUGCCAGCCGCCGCGGUAAUAC